rnacentral:lncRNA from 1 species
UGAGGUACUCACAAAGAUUUGCUGAACCCCUCCAAGCGAAAAAAUACUGAAAAUUAAACAGCUAAAGGGAAGGAGGGCAUUAAAAGACAUUAUCCUCAUAGUAUUCCACAGGAGGUUGCAAAUUUGCUUAUGAAGAUAAGUAAAUUAUGAAACAAAUACUUUUAGCUACUGCACAUUGGAUUAGCUGACCUUGUGUUGUACUCCCUUCUUGAUCUCCACAGUUAAUGACUGGUACCAGGGCUGUUCAAAGCAACUUUCAACAAAGAUGGAAAAUUCUGCAUGUGCCCUGUUCGGUAUUUUAGCCAUUGCUACAUGAAGCUGUUGAAGCUUGAAAUGUGGCGAAUUGGGUGGGAGAACUAAUUUUUAAUUUUACUUAAUUUUAAUUAAUUUAAAAUCAACUACUUACACUUGAUUAAUGACUACUGUAUUCAACAGCACAGAUCUACAGUGAAUGGCCAUAUUCAUCAUUGGACUGGAGCAGAGGAUGGUUUCUAAGACAGCAUAGUGACCCAAAAUAAUAUACGCCUGCAAAAAGGAAUCAUAGGUAAAAUGAAGUGUUUGGACUUCAUUUCUCUUCCAGCUGCAGAGAUUAGGAGCAAGUUUGAAUGGGCUGCUGGGAAGAACAUACCUGUAGGAUGUUUCUUUGCACAUAAAGGAGCUGCAGUGGUAGAAAUGUAGAUUCGUGACGUGGCCUCCUGGAGUCUGUUGAAGAAGAGUAAUUCUGAAAAUUCUCUCUGGUCCGCCUGGCUCCCCUGGUGCUGUUCACCCUGAUGAAGACGAAGAUUGCACCAGCGCCACCUUCUGGGAAAAAUAGAAAUAGCAGCAAAGAAGCCUUAUUUAAAGACUGCCAACUCUAUUUCACUCUCCAAGCAAAAA